CUACGGGACGCAGCAGUGAGGAAUAUUGCACAAUGGGGGGAACCCUGAUGCAGCAACGCCGCGUGGAGGAUGACGCAUUUCGGUGUGUAAACUCCUUUUAUAUGUCAAGAAAAUGACGGUAGCAUAUGAAUAAGCACCGGCUAACUCCGUGCCAGCAGCCGCGGUAAUACGGAGGGUGCAAGCGUUACUCGGAAUCACUGGGCGUAAAGGACGCGUAGGCGGGUUGGAAAGUCAGGUGUGAAAUCCUACAGCUUAACUGUAGAACUGCACUUGAAACUUCUAAUCUAGAGUAUGGGAGGGGGAGAUGGAAUUAGUGGUGUAGGGGUAAAAUCCGUAGAUAUCACUAGGAAUACCUAAAGCGAAGGCGAUAUCCUGGAACAUUACUGACGCUAAGGCGUGAAAGCGUGGGGAGCAAGCAGGAUUAGAUACCCGAGUAGUC
rnacentral:rRNA from 1 species